UCAGGAGGGGUAACCCUUCUGAGGGGAGAGCGGCGAACGGGUGAGUAACACGUGGGCAACCUGCCCCGGACACCGGGAUAACCCAGGGAAACCUGAGCUAAUACCGGAUACUCCGGCGCGAUCGCAUGGUCGUGCCGGGAAAGCUCCGACGGUCCGGGAUGGGCCCGCGGCCUAUCAGCUUGUUGGUGGGGUAACGGCCCACCAAGGCGACGACGGGUAGCUGGUCUGAGAGGACGGCCAGCCACACUGGGACUGAGACACGGCCCAGACUCCUACGGGAGGCAGCAGUGGGGGAUCUUGCGCUAAUGCGCGAAAGCGUGACGCAGCGACGCCGCGUGGGGGAUGAAGGCCUUCGGG
rnacentral:rRNA from 1 species